AUCUAUGGCCAUACCACCCUGAACAUGCCCCAUUUUGUCUGAUCUUGGAAGCUAAGCAGAGUCUGGCCCAGUUAGCACUUGGAUGGGAGAUGUGAAUA
ensembl:rRNA 5S_rRNA 5S ribosomal RNA